rnacentral:lncRNA from 1 species
UUUUGUUCCUGUGCUUGUGGUAUUCUUCAAGAUGCAUCUUGAAGUUAUGUUAUGAGAUGCCUCUUCAUACUUCAGUACUGUUUACUAGUAUUUGUAUAAAUGAAUGAUUAACAUCAUAGUUAACUGUGCACAUUUAUGUGCUUUGAGAAUCUUUGUGUAAUCGAGCGUUAUAAACUUCAUAUUCAUAAUACAAUGUUCAUGUUACUGUAAGAAAAAUAUACUUGAACAUAGUGUAGUUGCCAUUAAAUAGGGCUUAUCAGCUACUUUGGCACUCUAGUUGCUUAAACACACUGUAAAAACAACAAAUCAUUAAUACAUGAUAUUACAUGAUAUUAAUACAUGAUACAUGUAAAUAUUACACGAUAUUAAUACAUGAUACAUGAUUAAUACAUGAUCAUUAUGUUAAUCAUACGUGACACAGAUAUUAUCUUAAAGCAAAAAAAACCCCAACAAAAUAGUAGUGCAAGAUCUUGCCCUAUGAUGAAUUUUGUUGAUACAUGAAGUCAUGCAUUUAUUUGUGAUGCAAGCAGCUGUAUGAGUGGAAAAGUAAACAUAUUGUGACUUUAAAAUGGAGGAAGUGGAAUUCUACCUCUACUGAUAAGUCUGGACAUUUUUUCUAUUCAUUUUAUAUUUGGUGUUUGUUUUGCAAUCCAAAUCUUGCUGGAGAGGUCUUCUACUGUGAUGGUAGGUUGGACUAAUCUAGGUUAAAAUCUUAUGCUGCUGAGGCAUUGUGCUUGUCCACAAAAAGUGUAAAAACAAAAAUUAAGAAAAUAGAGAUAAAAGCAUUUUUAACGAUGAAAACAACGUGAAGCUGUAUCUUGCUGUUACCAUAUUACCAUACAUGCAGUAAUAAUAAAUGAAACAGUAAACACCUUGAAUGUCUAGUGAUCUCUGUUUUGUUUUUGUGAGAGAAACAUUUUCUCGCUUAGUUCUAGGUAUUUUCAUUUGCAAAUAGUAUCUGAUGAUUGUAACUAUUUAGAACUGCUAAGAGUUGUCAUCUUUGAAAUGGGCAUUUUUUGGAGAGUUUUCUGUAAUCCAACUCAUCAAAGGAAUUUCUUAUUAACAUAUGCUGUACCUGAACCUUUGAAGACACAGUGCUUAUUAGAUCAGACUUGUGUACAUAUUGCAUUAUUCAUUCAGUCACACUUAUGUUAUAUUAAACUGUUAGUCUUCAAAGUGGUUUGCUGUGCUUUUGGAUUUUGGAGAGGGAUUGUUUUAGAGGAGAAAUUCAGGAUUUAUCUAUUUUAGAAGAAAAGUUUUUUUUUAAAGCUUACUUUACAGUCCACUACAAAGCUGCAGUUGCGAUUCAAAUACUCAAACAUACAUCUAAAAUAUCCCCAACUAAUGUGAUGAACUGACUUCUUUCUUUGGCCCUAUAUGGAGGUCAAAAUUCAGCAUCCCUUAGUAUUAUGAAAAGCAAAUUAAUAAUACUUCUUGAGUGCUUAACAAAUCAAUGUUGUGAUGACUUUAAUACUGUAUUUAUCAGGAUAAAGUUGCAGUGGUAGUAGUAGCAAAUGUUACAUCUACUGCAUAGAUAAAAAUAUACUGAUUACUUAUUUGUAUAUUUUGUGACUUCUUCAAAUAAAACCAUCUGCAGUUAAAGAAAGCCCAAAGCCACUCUAAAAUGUUUCAGUCAUGUUGGCUUUGACAGAAAAAACGCUUUGUAGGUUUUGGAUAUCAAACCCUGUAAGAACAGUUUGUCAGGUUCUCCUGUCUCCUGCAAAGCGAAGCUCACAGUAACACUUAUCCUUUUCAAAAGGAUUAAAGAGAGUCUUACUAAAAUUACCAUAGCACUACUGGAAAUGUCUUCAUUAGAUUAAAAGGGCUUUAAUUGUAGAUGUUCUCUGGGCUUCAGCAUUUUCUAUCACCAUUAAAUCAUAGAAGGUUCAGUCUUUCUGGUACAAGUUUUAGAAAAUUGAGUUGCUUAUAUAGUAAAAGGUGCAACAAAGCUUCAUAAAACAUUUGCUUUACCAGUUACUCCAUGUGUGAAUUCGGACAGAAGUGAAAAUUUGUUUGCUUGUAUAUUCUUUCAGUUAUUACCUGUGUGUGUUUUUUUUUGUUGUUUGUUUUUUGAGAAAAGUAUUGAAAAUAAAAACUGAAAUCUAUAGACUAUUCUACAUUAGUAGCAAAUUUACUGUAGGAGGAAUUUUUGUGCCUUUAAUGAAUUGAGGUCUUCUGUUAGUCUGUCCUUAAAAUGGUUGACCCUAUAUUACAAUCUUACACUGAGAUUUAUGUAGUAUUUCUGUAACGUGCUUUUAACAGCCACCUCUGUAGGGUAUGAAGUUCUAUGAGCCUCAGAUUGUGUUGUUCCCAUAGAGCUCCUGAGUGUAGAAUGGAAAUGGCAUAAGUAAAUAAAUAGGAAGAAUUCUAUAGCAUCCUUUUAUUACUUAAUUUAUUACAUUUGGAGGACUUAGAGGGACAAGAAGUCCUAAAGAAUUGUCUCCUGAAAAUUGUUCUUCAGGAUAUUUUUUUUCAAACUUAAUCAUCUUUGAGUAUCUUGACUGGAGUGUAUGCAGUUAGCUUGUAUCUUAGUAUUGUAUAUCUGAACAUAACAGUAGCAACAACCUAUCAGAGCAAAGUAGAGAGGAUAGUUGGUGGCUGUCUUGUUACUUAGUUUAACUUCUACUCUGCUUUAUCAAACCUGUCAGUUGCUGUUACUUAAGUUGUAAUACCUCCAAUGAACUAUUAAUUUGAAAAAAAAAAAAUAGCAUAAAAAUUAAAUAACUUUUCAAUGAUUUGCAGGUUUAUGUAAAUGACCAGUUUCAAAAAGAACUUAAUGUAAUCAGACAAAUUCACUUCUCUAACUGAACAUAAGAUGUUCUUUGCAAAUCUCAUUAUAUGCAGCUCAUGAGAAUGUAAUUAACUUCCUAAUUUAUAUGCAGAUAGCCAUCUAAAUGUCAAAGCACUUUUAUUCAGUAAAUUCCUCCCCAUUUCUGAAUCAGUACAUUAAAAAAAAAAAUGUGCAAGAAAACUUCACAGAGGCUAAAUGAGAGGCAUCUAGUCUUUCAUGAAUGCUAUUUUGACUGUUCUUCUAAGCAGAAGUGCUUUCAGUUGUCUUUGUUUUCAAGGCAUAUUCUACAUCAACUAGUGUAGUUGUAUACUAUUGUCUGUUUUAGUAUGAGUGCUAAUGUAAAGUAUGUAUAAUGAAACAACUUUCUUUUGGGUUUAGUUUGAAAUGUAUUCUUUGUGAAGUCAGAAAAAAUGCUAUAGCCUCUCUACUUCAUCCUGUAGUUUGAAGUCAUCUCUACAGCACUGCAUCAUUUCAAGAGACUACUUUAGACAUGGAUAUAUGUAUAAUGUGAAUCUAAAAUAAUCAGCUAUCAAAGCUAUACAUCAAAAGCAUAAGAGCUUGUAGAUGAGAGUUUUGAGACUUGUAGGUGACUUGUAGGCUCUCCUCCUUUUACACCAAGUUGCAAACUGUAAUGUUUUAAUUUAAAAGGAAACUGACAAGUUAGAUUAUUGGAUGUUGUCUUAACCUUUUUUGAGCUUCAUGCAUCGUUUUUCUGGAAAUGCUGUUUUCAUAUGUUUGGGAUACUGUGUGGAAAAUUUUAAAUAUUAUGUAAUGGAACAGGAUCUCCAACCCUAACUUAAGUAAGGAGGAAACAAGAGGAGGUAUUGGCAAUUCUCAAAAUAAAUAAAUAAAUAAAAGGCAAACAAAUACAGCUAUUGAAAAACAGAUGUUGGGUAAUUUUCUAAAAUGCAUUUAGUUGCUGAACUUUCCACAAGUGAACUUCAUAUGUAGAUGACACAUUUAUUUUUUAAAAUGUAGCCUUUUCUGCCAUUUUCUAAAAGGGCAUAUUGCUGUAUUUCAAGAUAUAAUGAAUGUGUGGUUAUAAAUCAAUCAAUUUCUUUCACGUUUUUAAACUGGCCAGAGGGAGAAAAGACUAGCUUGGUGAAUGCAUCAUUUUGGCUCAGUUUAUUUCUUAGCCUUUUGCUUCUUUACUGCUGGAAGCAGUAUAUACUAAGGGAAAAAAGAAGGGAAUUAUAUUCUAUAGUUUUACCCUUAAAAAUAAUAAUAAUAAUAAUAAUCCCUCCUUGUGAAUGUUCUCAACUGUAUUUGAAAAUGAUGGUCCUUUUUCAAAGUCUAUAAUAGUAAUUAUUAUAACUUUUAACUAAAUAUAUAAAUAUAUAUAUAAAUAAAUAUAUAUGUAUAAAUAUGUAUUGUAUAACUAAAUUAUACAAAUACAGUCACAUUCAAAAAUCCAGUGAUCGCCAUAAUGGCUGCUGUGAGCUUCUAAUACGAUGUUAUACACUUACAAAGUGAAAUCAGUACAGUUGUAAUAAACUUCCUCUAUGAGAGCUGUAACACAUCCAGUUAAACAUUGCAUUAAGUAUGUAUUUACAUGUUUAUUUCAGCCAUUUUGAUCAACAAAAUAUAUUGAUAUUUAUAUGUCAAUUAAACUUAAAAUCAGACACUUUGUAGAAUGCAACAGGAGCUAAAUCAGAACUUAUUCUGAAGUGUUAAAUAACUGUUGGGUAAUUUUAUAUGUAAUUAUUAAAAAUCAGUGGGUUAUUAUAAGUGAAUUAUUAAAAAAAGUGGACAAAUAUUCUCUGAAAACUAAUGGAGUUGUUAUUGAGGAUAUCAACGGGUUUAAACUCUUGGAGUAAAUGUUGUAUUUGGCUAUUUCAGCCUUGCAAUUAUUUCACCAUAAAAACAAUUUUUAGUCAGUGUUUAUGAUUUGUACAAUGGCUUGCUCUUGUACUCUAUCCGUGUAUAGAGUACAAGUAACUAGUGUUGUUGUUACUAGUCACCUAUUGCAUUAUUUAUAAUUGAAUAUUGGGGGUUUGUCUUCUGCUAAUGAAUGUGACAGGUCCUCUUCUUUAGAGUCACUGAAUAAAGAUCUUAUUAGGUGCAGUUUGGAUUUUGGCUUCCCUAUUUUUGCAUGCUGAUUGAAGUAAUUGCUCAUUUAUCAUCUUUCCUCGUGUAUUGUGAUUAGCUGCUGCCUGUUAGCUUGUUUAGAGCUGUUAUCUAUUGUCAGAGACGUUAAACUGGGUCACAGACCUAACAUUAAGUGUUUCACUGUGGGGAUUGGAAAAGUGUUUCCUUGAUUUACCCAUCGCUUUUAGAGAUGAUUUGUAUUACUUUUGUAGGAGUUUCUGAACUCUGUUGGGAAGAUUAAAUAAUUAAAAAAUGUAUGGACUUUUUUGUCUUCCCUCAUAAUGUUUGUAGUUUUUUCAAGUUUUAGCAUCUUUCCUGCUCUGCCUGUGGCAGUAAUAAAUUCCUUAAGAUCAUAAAGUAGUGACUGGAGAGUACGUUCCAAAUAGGCAAUGCAGCUGGUCAGGGUAAGAGUACAUAAUGUUGUCAUGUCAGGAAUGUGAGGUUAAGUGGUGGGAGUUGAGGGAGAGCAGUAAUGGAAGGGCACGCAAAAUAGUCUCAUAUUUCUGCGAAAAUGUUCACUGUUAGUUCUUUAAUAGCUCUUUAAGUUGAGAUGCAUAUCCACUGGAUAUACCAGAAAUGUAAUCACUUGAAGGUUCCUUAUCUUAAACUAAUUCUAGUCUAAGAGAAAUAAUGAUAUGACAGUGCUUGAAAUGACAAGGUUCUUAUUACAUUUUACAUAAUUUGGAAACUUCCCUUAUUUUUAGUGAGUUUAAUAUUAAUCUUCUAGUAAAAUCUGUAUUUCAUCAGUUUCAAUUCCAGAAGUGUGACAUCCAGUUCUGCUUCUAGUAGAUUCACUAAAACAAAACAGUGUCCCAGCCACACCCUCUCAUUUAUCAAGUAAAACUGACCUGAGGUGUCUUGGUUUUGCAUUAUUGUUUUCAUAACGUUAAAAAAUAAAUUGGAUUUGGGAAAAAAAUAAUAUUCAGACGUCGUCUCUUAAAAAACAAACAAAAAAAAGAAGUACAACCCAAUGUGCUUUGAAACCAUAGCAUUAACAGAAAUCUUUAGUGAAAGGAGAAAAGUUCUGUAGUGAUGGUUAUUCUGCUAAAAUUAAAAUGUUAUGCCAAAUAUUUUUAAUAGCCUAACAAUGCUUGUUGAUAACAUCAAAUCACCUUUCUGCCAGUGUGCUUUCAGUCUGUUUGGGAAUAUCCUUCUUGAGUUCCUUUCUUAAUUAAUCCAAAUCCUUAAUUUGAUCUUUCUCAGUUUGUGUUAUCUCUCUUGUUUUACCUCGUGUAGUUUUUUUCUCCCACCCUUGCUUGUGAAUUAAUUGCUUUGAAAAUCAUACUGGAUUUUUUUUUUUUUUGCAGACACUAUUGGCCAAUUAAAUGCUAGAUUCAUUAUACAGUACAUCUCUUGUUAUUGUGUAGAGUAACCUGGGCAUUAGAAGUAAAUGAUUAAAUAUCAGUGUGUGGUUUUGUUCUAUUUUAUUUUUCUGUGGGGAGCAUGGUAAGUCACACUAUGUGCUUCAGCUGUACCCAAUCAAGACAAACCGUAAACAAUUUAUGCGCUGUUGUGGUGCUUUAUUAUUUUUUCUUUGUACAUAGCUUUUGUACGUUUAGGAGCUGGGCUUACUAACAGAAGUUCUUAAACUUACAGUGAAGCCAGGAGGAAAAAAGUCAGAAGAUGAUCAGAUAAUUAGACAAUCAGUUCAUUAAAGAUUGGAGUUGUUUAAUUUUGAGCCAUAGAAUCCUAAAAGUAGGAAGGAACUAUGAGUUACUUAGUUCUGCUCAAAAUAUGGGAAUAUUUCUGAUUAGCAAUAGAUGGAAAAAAAUGGAAAGAAAUGGAGGGUUUGGAUACAACCUGUUCAUGGGGAGCAGUGGGGAGAGAAUUCUGGAGAGUUAACCUCAUUUCUUUUUCAACUACGGAAGUAAGUAGAUAAAGGUAACCACUGGUGCAGACGAGUGGCCUGCUCACUUUGUUAUUCUCCUAUGUGAAAUUAAAUCUUGACCCUCUCCUCAAAAUCAACAGCAGUGAACCUAGUUCUAGAGUUUUGUCAGAGUCAAAACAGAUAAUAGGACUGCAGCGUUUUUUAUAUGCAACUCAGUUUGUUGUAGACUACCUAUUUAGUUUUGACUCCCUAUUUCACCUGUGCCUUGUCAGCUCUUCGUUUCUCACUGCUUGCUCAGAAACUCUCGUUUCCCUGGUCACAGCAGGAUUCGAACAGGAAACGGGUUUGAAUCUGUCUGCAGAGAAAAUCUUUAAAGUGCACAGCAUACCCAAGAAGCAAACUCUUUUCACACUGUUUCCCUCUGUCUCUCUCCCAAUUCUUUUUAUGAUUUCUUUGCUUUCCACUGUGUUUGUGUCCACUCCUGACACACAGCUUCAUUCACGAUGAUAUGUGUUCAGACUGCUCUAUCUUCUAACACCUCUGUUUAUAUCAGUCCUCAGGGAAGCUUUUGGUGUCAGGCAGUGCUGCUCAUACUUUGCCAGUCAAGUAGCUUUUUGUUUCAUGUUGUUACUGUCACAGCUGACUUCUUUCAAUUGUUCUUCAUGUUUGUCAUGACAGGAUGAACUGGUUUACUGAGUCCAUCGCCUGCCUGCCCUUGUACUUGUUAACACUGUGGAACAGGGUUAUUAAAUUUUGUAAUAUAAAUAUGUUCGGGGUUUUCGUUCAAAUAUGGCUAAAUCCAUCAACUUUGGAUUUUGUUAAGUAGUCUGUGAGCUAUUGGCACUGGAAUGUUUUGCUUCUCUCAAAGUAGCUGUCUUCAGUCCAGCAAGCUAUACCUGGACUUCUCAGUAACAGUGCAGAAAAUGCGAUGUGGCUUUUAUAUUGUUUUAUAUUCAUGAUUACUUGGCCUUAUGAUAUACUCUACAGAGGGCAGUGGUUUGUAUAAAAACAACAAACAAACAAAAAAACAACUAAGUUUGCUUCCAAGAAGAGGGGGUGGGGGGGAAAUCUUUUUCUGACUAGAAAAACAAUCACAUUCUGAGACUUACUUUGUUGAGGGAUUUUCCUGAUGCAUUUCAACACUGUGAGUUUGGAAACAGCGCUAAUAUUGCUCCCGUGUUACGUGGAAUACAGCUGGCCAAAGCACAGUACCAUUGUGUAGCAGCUGUAAUCUUAGUUUCUUUGUCAGCUAACAGAUGAGACUUGAGCUACAAGAGCAAGCAUGUCUUCCUUAUUGCACCUUCAGAACAGUUAGACUUGAAAAUCACAGUUUGGUGAAGAAAGUCCGGGAGGAAACAUAAGAGAACAAGAUAAAACUUCCUGUGAUUAGAAAAUUCCUCUUGUUUAACAACCAUUUGGUGGAGUUUUCCUGUCAGAUGUGGAUGAUUUUUUUUGUGCAUUCCCUCCACCCCAACUUUGUCAUAUAUAUCAGCAGAAUAGAAUCCAUUAGGGCUUACGAGAAAUGUGAGAUGUCUCUUCUGUGACAAUUCUUAUUGACCUUGCCAUGUCAGGCUUUGUUUUACAUGAAAAAUAUUCUAUAAUGGUAACUACUGUGGGAGACUGGUCUAAAAUAGAUGUAACUUAAGAAAAACUCAGAAGAUCUUUCUUUCCAUUUUGAAGCUGGUUAAAUAAGAUUUAUGCUCUUGUAUAAUACUCAUGCAUGAAGGCUGCACUUCAGUCUUUAUUAAGUUAUGGGAAUAGAUACAAGAUUGAGAUUGACACAAUGUAAGAGACAUCAUAUUUGCUCCUGGGUUGUUUCUUAUGGACCCAUGUUAGAGAGUUGAUACUAAAAUUUCAGAGAAGAAAUGUACUCUUUCCUCCAUCAGUUGCUGCAUUCACAUACCAGUGAGAGAGGAAGAGUAAGAACAGUUGGAAAACAGCACUGAGUUCAUUCUACACCCAUGAGGUUUUCAUUAAUUUCCAUAAAUUAGAAUGUAUUAUAAUUAUCUAAUUUCAGUCUUAAAAUGUAUCAAAAACAUUAUUAGAGUACCUAAGUGUAGUCAGUUAUCUGGAAAAUUUGUAUUAUUAUUUACAGGCAAAUAUCAUAAUAUGUGAAAUAUAAGCUUUAUUUUACUUGCAUCUCUGUGAAUCACUCAAUGUAAUUUUUACUUAGUUUUCUGGUAAUUGUUUCUGGUGGUGCUGUAUUUCUGCACAACCAUUCCAGAGCUCAGAACUGCAGAGGAUUUAUCCAUGUUAUGUUAGUUGGUCCAGACCCCUCUGGUAGUGUCUUAAGAUCUUGAAGUACUUAACAGUAUUUCUAAAUGCUAUUUAGAGGUAAUCCACUGCAAGUGAAAGAUGGAUGUAUUUCCAAGGUACUCGAGGGCACGUUAUCAGCAUCUGGGAAGCAAAACCUUAUAGAAGUAACCAGAAUUAUUUUUUAUUUCUUAAAUACACAUUAAAUUGUCUAACUGCAUACCCCAAGUGAGUUUUGGAAAGUGGAGUAAAGUAAUUGCAUAUAAUCCUCUUGGAAGUAGAUAGGGAAUAUUUGUCAAAUACAUGUAGUCUGACUCCAGUGGAGAGAUGGCACCUUUAAGAAAUACGUUACUGAUGAUUGCAUUUGGCAUAGCUGAUAAUAGCAUUUUACAACCAAGUCAGAUGUAGGAGAACUAUGAAAAUCUUCUUUACUUCUCUUUGAUGUAAACCAGAGGUACUGGGAGAUAAACAUUGGGAAGUGAACUGCUAAGUUAGAUGUUUGUGUUAACUAUGCAAGUAUUUUGUCAUGGAAGGUGAGGGAGAACAUUGAAGAGGAAUAGUCCUGGUUCCUCCAAAAAUGUCAGAUAUUUGAGGAAGUUAAUCAACACAAUCUGAGUUAAAACUGUUUUCCCAGGGUUACCUAAUCCACUCAUGUAGUUUGUUCAGAACGAAUUCAUGACUGAAUUUACUGAACUGCUUGUUUUGGUGUGUUGUUUACCUCCUCUUUGCUACUCUGAGCCUGAAAUGAAAUGUUGAUGUGUAACUCAGGAAGUAUUCGCCAAAAACAUU